rnacentral:misc_RNA from 1 species
GUUACAAGAUGAACAGCUCCUGUGCAGACAUUCUCCUCUUUGCUGCUCACAGGUGGCCUAUGUCAAAGCCUAGUCUUGUGGCUGAGUCAAAAGAUGUAUUUGAUCAGAAAGCCAGCAAUAAAUACNAUUGAUGUACAGCUUAGAUGGGGUGAUUAUGACUCUCAUGAUAUUGAGCGUUAUACCCGGGCCAAAUUUAUGGAUUACACGACGGAUAACAUGUCUAUAUAUCCAUCUCCAACUGGGG